CAGUUCUUGGUCUCUUGCGAGUUGAUUUAAAUGGAUACGUAUUGGUGCAAACAGGUGUAUUACUUCCAGAUGUACUUGGCACUGGUUAUAAUCGGUUUCUUGCAUGGGCUUGUUUUCUUACCAGUCAUACUGAGUUUAGCUGGCCCUCCGCAACUACAUUUGGACAUCGAGGAGCAGCAGCAAGCAGACCAAGCUUCUUCCUCCCUGUUGAACCACAGACGCUCUUAAGUCUUAACUCAACCUUCACAUUACUCGUAUUGUGCAAAUGUCUUGCACAAUGUCAAAAAAGAACUAAAGAAUCAACAGUGUGAUUACUGGAAUAUCCUCUGUAUCAAAGUUAGGUGACAGGCCCAUGGCCCAAAGUAUGGCUUUUUGGUACAAUUUCUUAACUAGAGUUACGGUUAAAGAAAACAUGAAAAUUAAAGACUUUGGAGCUAAA